UACGUAGGGUGCAAGCGUUGUCCGGAAUUAUUGGGCGUAAAGAGCUCGUAGGCGGUUUGUCGCGUCGAAUGUGAAAACCCGGGGCUCAACCCCGGGCCUGCAUUCGAUACGGGCAGACUAGAGUUCGGUAGGGGAGUCUGGAAUUCCUGGUGUAGCGGUGAAAUGCGCAGAUACUCAGGAGGAACACCGGUGGCGAAGGCGGGACUCUGGGCCGAUACUGACGCUGAGGAGCGAAAGCGUGGGGAGCGAACAGG
rnacentral:rRNA from 1 species